rnacentral:piRNA from 1 species
UGCAGGAAACCACUUUGUCGGCAGAUGU